rnacentral:rRNA from 1 species
GGAGGGCAAGUCUGGUGCCAGCAGCCGCGGUAAUUCCAGCUCCAAUAGCGUAUAUUAAAGUUGUUGCAGUUAAAAAGCUCGUAGUUGAAUUUCGGGAUCAGUACGCCGGUCGUGCCUUCGGUAUGCACUGGUGUCACUGGUUUCUCCCUUCUGAAGAACCAUCAUGCCAUUCAGUUGGUGUGGCGGGGAAUCAGGACUGUUACUUUGAAAAAAUUAGAGUGUUUAAAGCAGGCUCGCGCUUGAAUACAUUAGCAUGGAAUAAUGAAAUAGGACGUUUGACCCUAUUUUGUUGGUUUCUAGGAUCGACGUAAUGAUUAAUAGGGAUAGUUGGGGGCAUUAGUAUUCAAUUGUCAGAGGUGAAAUUCUUGGAUUUAUUGAAGACUAACUACUGCGAAAGCAUUUGCCAAGGAUGUUUUCAUUAAUCAAGAACGAAAGUUAGGGGAUCGAAGACGAUCAGAUACCGUCGUAGUCUUAACCAUAAACUAUGCCGACUAGGGAUCGGAUGAUGUUAAUUUUUUAAUGACUCAUUCGGCGCCUUACGGGAAACA